CUUUCUUCUCUCUCCCCUCCCACCUCCCUCUGCUUCCUCCUCCCCUGCAGUGGAGGAUGGUGGGGUGA
rnacentral:miRNA from 1 species